GUCGAGCGGUAAGAGAAGCUUGCUUCUCUUGAGAGCGGCGGACGGGUGAGUAAUGCCUAGGAAUCUGCCUGGUAGUGGGGGAUAACGUUCGGAAACGGACGCUAAUACCGCAUACGUCCUACGGGAGAAAGCAGGGGACCUUCGGGCCUUGCGCUAUCAGAUGAGCCUAGGUCGGAUUAGCUAGUUGGUGAGGUAAUGGCUCACCAAGGCGACGAUCCGUAACUGGUCUGAGAGGAUGAUCAGUCACACUGGAACUGAGACACGGUCCAGACUCCUACGGGAGGCAGCAGUGGGGAAUAUUGGACAAUGGGCGAAAGCCUGAUCCAGCCAUGCCGCGUGUGUGAAGAAGGUCUUCGGAUUGUAAAGCACUUUAAGUUGGGAGGAAGGGCAGUAAAUUAAUACUUUGCUGUUUUGACGUUACCGACAGAAUAAGCACCGGCUAACUCUGUGCCAGCAGCCGCGGUAAUACAGAGGGUGCAAGCGUUAAUCGGAAUUACUGGGCGUAAAGCGCGCGUAGGUGGUUUGUUAAGUUGGAUGUGAAAUCCCCGGGCUCAACCUGGGAACUGCAUUCAAAACUGACUGACUAGAGUAUGGUAGAGGGUGGUGGAAUUUCCUGUGUAGCGGUGAAAUGCGUAGAUAUAGGAAGGAACACCAGUGGCGAAGGCGACCACCUGGACUAAUACUGACACUGAGGUGCGAAAGCGUGGGGAGCAAACAGGAUUAGAUACCCUGGUAGUCCACGCCGUAAACGAUGUCAACUAGCCGUUGGAAGCCUUGAGCUUUUAGUGGCGCAGCUAACGCAUUAAGUUGACCGCC
rnacentral:rRNA from 1 species